rnacentral:rRNA from 1 species
ACGGGAGGCAGCAGUGGGGAAUAUUGCACAAUGGGGGGAACCCUGAUGCAGCGACGCCGCGUGAGUGAUGAAGUAUUUCGGUAUGUAAAGCUCUAUCAGUAGGGAAGAUAAUGACGGUACCUAACUAAGAAGCACCGGCUAAAUACGUGCCAGCAGCCGCGGUAAUACGUAUGGUGCAAGCGUUAUCCGGAUUUACUGGGUGUAAAGGGAGUGUAGGUGGUUUGGCAAGCCAGAAGUGAAAACCCGGGGCUCAACCCCGUGGAUUGCUUUUGGAACUGUUGGAUUAGAGUGCAGGAGGGGUAAGCGGAAUUCCCAGUGUAGCGGUGAAAUGCGUAGAUAUUGGGAAGAACACCGGUGGCGAAGGCGGCUUACUGGACUGUAACUGACACUGAGGCUCGAAAGCGUGGGGAGCAAACAGGAUUAGAUACCCUGGUA